ACCAACCAAGCCAGGCGGCUUCAGACCGACCUUUCCACCACAUUCACCGCGAGUUGAGCCGGAUUCAAUCCGCACUUUUUCCCCCAUUUGCAGCAACAAAUAAAAGUUACCGUCCCCUCGGGCGACGGCAGCUCGGAUUUUUGUUUUUUUUUUAUUUUUGGGAAAAUAGAACACUCUCGUGAUGGGGACCAGGACGAAGUUCUCGCCCACAAACGGAGAAUGCAGAACUCCACAGUCUGCGUCUCCUUCUCCUGUAUUACGUAUGGAGAGGAAUGUAACAGAGUGAAACAAUAUCAGAUCAAUGUUCUUACGUUUGCUCACGUGGAGCAGCAAGCAGCAGAUCGUAAAGGCGUGAAGCUGAAAUUAGAGGGAUUCAAGCUUGCUGAGGUGACACAUUAGCCUGGGUGUGAUUCUGGAUAUGAAGAGACAGAGGAAGCAUGUAAGCAUGCAGUCAAUGCUGGGUGGAGCCACAACACAUUAUCCUCACAGUCAGAAGAUUAAUUCAAGAGAAGAGAUUUGAAAAUGUUUUACUUUCCCCAGCCUUGGAGAAAACAAUAAUUUAGAAAGAAGACAGAUCUGAUUACUGAUCACCACACUCCUAUUUUCCCACUUGCUUCUUCCUUUCACCAGUUCUCAUCUAUCCUCAAAUAUUACCAUUGCCCAACAUGGUCAACAUAUCCAAGUACCCAGUGCUAUGCCACAGAAAAGGAUGUUCUAGCAACUGUUUCCUACUUACUUUCUGAUGCAGACCGUACAUUUACAAACCAAACUGUUGAAUUUUGAAACCUUGAUGUAAAAUAGAGCUGAGACAGUGACAUGUUCAAGGCUGCCAUCACUGCUGGUUUCUGCCUAUUGGAUUCCUCUUUUAAAUGGCAUGGUGGGGGGAGGCUGGUUGCACAGUCACUUUCAAUGCCAUUCAGAUCACUGACAGCAGGUGCACUGCAGUCAUUUGAACUUGACUUGCUGGAGUUUCUAUUUCUUCACAGAGAUGGCAAUCUCUCUUGUUGGGCAGUGCUCCAUCUAGUGGCCAAUCUCUGAACUGGCAAAUUUCACCUCUUUUCCCAAACAGACUAAGGGCAAAUUUUACUCGAAUUAAACAGACAACAGCUUACUGAUCACCAGCUUUGCAUCUGUCCUGCAUUGGAAAUGAAAAUCAGACAACAUGUACAAUGGCUGCUGAUCUGCUAAUACCUGUUUUACACUGUCACAAAAUCAAAAUCCUAUUUACUUGAGUUCAAAGCUGUUUUAAGUCUGAAAUCUGUACAAACCUUUACAAGAGUUCAUGUUCCACUAAUAAAGCUACAG